UGAAAAGCAUAAAGAGGUGGCCCAUUAUUUGCAUGUCCAAUGUAAUGUUCUGUUAAAAAAGGAGGUCUCAGGGCUGUGAGGAAGUCCAUGAACACAUAGAAACUUCAAUUGUCACUGAGACUGAAGAAUGCUGACAGCAGUUUGGCUAAACAUUUUACCACCCACGAGACUCCUGGGAAGGUGUCCUGAUCAGUCUCUUGACCUACUCAUAUACUCCUGCUCUUCUUGAAAUCAUUGCCCUGGUCCAAGCCCUUGGACUCUAAGACUUCUAACUCUGAGGCAAGCUGGAGCUAAAUUCCACAAGAAAGUCCUGGAUUCAGUGGCUCUCCAAUGCAGCAGACAGAAAAU
rnacentral:lncRNA from 1 species